rnacentral:rRNA from 1 species
AAAGGAAUAGACGGGGGCCCGCACAAGCAGUGGAGUAUGUGGUUUAAUUCGAGGCAACGCGAAGAACCUUACCAGGGUUUGACAUCCCGCGCAAGGUCUAGAGAUAGGCUGUUCCCUUCGGGGACGCGGAGACAGGUGGUGCAUGGUUGUCGUCAGCUCGUGUCGUGAGAUGUUCGGUUAAGUCCGGCAACGAGCGCAACCCUCGUUGUCAGUUGCCAUCAUUCAGUUGGGCACUUUGGCGAGACUGCCGUUGACAAAACGGAGGAAGGUGGGGAUGACGUCAAAUCAUCAUGCCCCUUAUGUCCUGGGCUACACACGUACUACAAUGGGUGUUACAGAGGGCAGCCACACCGCGAGGUGGAGCGAAUCCCAAAAGGCACCCCCAGUUCGGAUUGCAGGCUGCAAUUCGCCUGCAUGAAGCCGGAAUUGCUAGUAAUGGCAGGUCAGCAUACUGCCGUGAAUACGUUCCCGGGCCUUGUACACACCGCCCGU